CGAAGGACCCGAGCGUUAUCCGGAUUUAUUGGGUUUAAAGGGUGCGUAGGCGGAUUAGUAAGUCAGUGGUGAAAGCCCAUCGCUUAACGGUGGAACUGCCAUUGAUACUGCUAGUCUUGAGUAUGGUUGAGGUGGGCGGAAUGUGUCAUGUAGCGGUGAAAUGCUUAGAUAUGACCCAGAACACCAAUUGCGAAGGCAGCUCGCUAAGCCAUAACUGACGCUGAUGCACGAAAGCGUGGGGAGCAAACAGGAUUAGAUACCCUGGUAGUCCACGCCCUAAACUAUGAUCACUCGUUGUUGGCGAUACACAGUCAGCGACUAAGGGAAACCAUUAAGUGAUCCACCUGGGAAGUACGACCGCAAGGUUG
rnacentral:rRNA from 1 species